rnacentral:tRNA from 28 species
GCGCCCUUAGCUCAGCUGGAUAGAGCACGUCCCUUCUAAGGAUGUGGUCGCAGGUUCGAAUCCUGCAGGGCGUGCCA